rnacentral:tRNA from 1 species
GAGGGGAUAGCUCAAGUGGUAGAGCGCAUGCUUAGCAUGCAUGAGGUCCCGGGUUCGAUCCCCAGUACUUCUU